rnacentral:pre_miRNA from 1 species
UAGAGUGACCUUAUUGAGACCAGUGCUUAUAGAAUGAUUAUUCUAUAAGCACUGGUCUCCAUAAGGUUAUUCUAUAAGCACUGGUCUCGAUAAGGUCAUUC